AUGUGUGUGUGUUUGUUGACUCUAGGGUCAUAGUGGGAGAAACAACGUGUCUCCCCUGUGCUUUCUGGCCAUGGUUGGAAAUCUGUAGCAGUAAAAGACUUAACCCUGUCCCUGAUUUCAUGUUGUUUAUGGAAAUGGAGAACCCGGAAAUGGGUAGGGGGCUAGGCGACGCUACCAAGCCACGGCCAAGAGGAC